GAUGAACGCUGGCGGCGUGCCUAAUACAUGCAAGUCGAGCGAACGGACGAGAAGCUUGCUUUUCUGAUGUUAGCGGCGGACGGGUGAGUAACACGUGGAUAACCUACCUAUAAGACUGGGAUAACUUCGGGAAACCGGAGCUAAUACCGGAUAAUAUUUUGAACCGCAUGGUUCAAAAGUGAAAGACGGUCUUGCUGUCACUUAUAGAUGGAUCCGCGCUGCAUUAGCUAGUUGGUAAGGUAACGGCUUACCAAGGCAACGAUGCAUAGCCGACCUGAGAGGGGGAUCGGCCACACUGGAACUGAGACACGGUCCAGACUCCUACGGGAGGCAGCAGUAGGGAAUCUUCCGCAAUGGGCGAAAGCCUGACGGAGCAACGCCGCGUGAGUGAUGAAGUUCUUCGGAUCGUAAAACUUUGUUAUUAGGGAAGAACAUAUGUGUAAGUAACUGUGCACAUCUUGACGGUACCUAACCAGAAAGCCACGGCUAACUACGUG
rnacentral:rRNA from 1 species